rfam:Jatropha curcas cultivar GZQX0401 scaffold42_53, whole genome shotgun sequence.
GGUCCCGUAGCUCAGUUGAUCAGAGCGUGACUCUUAUAAGCUGAAGGUCGCGGGUUCGAAUCUCACCGGGACCA